rnacentral:ncRNA from 1 species
AGAGACUUAGUCCCAACCUUACCGUUAAUUCUUGCCAGACACAUACAUGCAAGUAUCCGCACCCCAGUGUAAACGCCCCUCAACCUUACGCUAGGCAGAGGGAGCUGGCAUCAGGCACACCCACCAAUCGUAGCCCAAGACGCCUCGCACCAGCCACACCCCCACGGGCAUUCAGCAGUAGUUAACAUUAAGCAAUAAGCGUAAGCUUGACUUAGUUAUGGCAACCCAACAUAGGGCCGGUAAAUCUUGUGCCAGCCACCGCGGUCAUACAAGAGGCCCAAGUUAACGGUCCACGGCGUAAAGAGUGGCCCCACGAUAUCUCACAAACUAGAGCCAAAAUGCAACUAAGCUGUCAUAAGCUAAAGAUGCACCUAAAACCCCCAAAAAGACCCUAGCCACCGAGAAACACAAAACUCCACGAAAGCUGGGGCCCAAACUGGGAUUAGAUACCCCACUAUGCCCAGCCCUAAAUCUUGAUACUCGUCCUAUCACUAGAGCAUCCGCCAGAGCACUACGAGCACAAACGCUUAAAAUUCUAAGGACUUGGCGGUACCCCAAACCCACCUAGAGGAGCCUGUCCUAUAAUCGACAACCCACGAUAGACCCAACCGUCUCUUGCAAGACAGCCUACAUACCGCCGUCACCAGCCCGCCUCCUGAGAGAACAACAGCGGACACAAUAGCCACAACAUCGCUAGCAGGACAGGUCAAGGUAUAGCUUAUGAGACGGAAGAGAUGGGCUACAUUCCCUAGAAUAGGGAAUCAACGAAAGGGGACAUGAAACACCCCCGGAAGGCGGAUUUAGCAGUAAAGGCGGGAUCACAUAAGCCUCCUUUAAAAAGGCUCUGGGGUACGUACAUACCGCCCGUCACCCUCCUCAAACGCUACUACCACCCAUAAUUAAUCUCUUCAAAGCUAAUAGACGAGGUAAGUCGUAACAAGGUAAGUGUACCGGAAGGUGUACUUAGCAUAC